GAACGGGUCCAAGAUGCAGGACUCAGGGUACAAGGGAAGCAAGUUGCGGGACUUAACCGAGAAACUCGCAAAGUGCAGAUUGUAUCUUGAGUCCUGUGUCUUGGAUUAGUGGCGGACGGGUGAGUAACACGUAGGUAACCUGCCUCAGAGUGGGGGACAACCCAGGGAAACUUGGGCUAAUACCGCAUAAGACCACGAUCUGAAAUGAUUGGGGUAAAAGCAGCAAUGCGCUUUGCGAGGGGCCUGCGGCCUAUCAGGUAGUUGGUAAGGUAAUGGCUUACCAAGCCUAAGACGGGUAGCCGGACUGAGAGGUUGAACGGCCACACUGGAACUGAGACACGGUCCAGACUCCUACGGGAGGCAGCAGUGGGGAAUUUUGCGCAAUGGGCGAAAGCCUGACGCAGCGACGCCGCGUGGAGGAUGAAGGUCUUCGGAUUGUAAACUCCUUUUGUCGGGGAAGAUAAUGACGGUACCCGAUGAAUAAGCCACGGCUAACUCUGUGCCAGCAGCCGCGGUAAGACAGAGGUGGCAAGCGUUGUUCGGAAUUACUGGGCUUAAAGGGCGCGUAGGCGGUGGAGUAAGUCUGAGGUGGAAGA
rnacentral:rRNA from 1 species